rnacentral:tRNA from 1 species
UCGGGGGUCGUCUAAUGGUAGGACAUUAGGCUCUGGACCUAAGAAUCGGGGUUCAAAUCCCUGCCCCCGAG